rnacentral:rRNA from 1 species
GGUAGAGUAACGCGUGAGUAACCUGCCUUACACAAGGGGAUAGCCUUUGGAAACGAAGAAUAUUACCCUAUAAAACCAUAAAAGCACAUGCUAGAAUGGUCAAAGUGAUAGCGGUGUAAGAUGGACUUGCGUCUGAUUAGCUAGUUGGUGAGAUAAAAUCUCACCAAGGCAACGAUCAGUAGCCGGCUUGAGAGAGUGUACGGCCACAUUGGGACUGAGACACGGCCCAG